rfam:Lactobacillus fabifermentans T30PCM01 genomic scaffold scaffold23, whole genome shotgun sequence.
GGUAUUGUUUGCCCCACGAUAAGCCCCGGAAAUCUUAUUGAGUGUCAAACAAACACAGA